rnacentral:tRNA from 1 species
GCCUGGGUGGCUCAGUCAGUUAAGCAUCCGACUUUGGCUCAGGUCAUGAUCUCACAGUUCGUGGGUUCGAGCCCCACGUCGGGCU